rnacentral:rRNA from 1 species
UACGUAGGGUGCAAGCGUUGUCCGGAAUUAUUGGGCGUAAAGAGCUCGUAGGCGGUUUGUCGCGUCUGCUGUGAAAACUCAGGGCUUAACUCUGAGCUUGCAGUGGGUACGGGCAGACUAGAGUGCGGUAGGGGAGACUGGAAUUCCUGGUGUAGCGGUGAAAUGCGCAGAUAUCAGGAGGAACACCGGUGGCGAAGGCGGCUUCUUGGGCCGUUACUG